rnacentral:rRNA from 1 species
UGGUGGAUUGAUUUGUCUGGUUAAUUCCGUUAACGAACGAGACCCCCGCCUGCUAAAUACAUGCUUGUAAUGAUUACUCAUUGCUGUUGCAGUUCUUAGAGGGACGUCCGCUUCACAAGGCGGAGGAAGAUGGGGGCAAUAACA